rnacentral:rRNA from 1 species
UACGAAGGGGGCUAGCAUUGCUCGGAAUCACUGGGCGUAAAGGGUGCGUAGGCGGGUCUUUAAGUCAGGGGUGAAAUCCUGGAGCUCAACUCCAGAACUGCCUUUGAUACUGAAGAUCUUGAGUUCGGGAGAGGUGAGUGGAACUGCGAGUGUAGAGGUGAAAUUCGUAGAUAUUCGCAAGAACACCAGUGGCGAAGGCGGCUCACUGGCCCGAUACUGACGCUGAUGCACGAAAGCGUGGGGAGCAAACAGG